UACGAAGGGUGCAAGCGUUAUUCGGAAUUACUGGGCGUAAAGGGUGCGUAGGCGGUUCGUUAAGUCUGUUGUGAAAUCCCCGGGCUCAACCUGGGAAUGGCAAUGGAUACUGGCGAGCUAGAGUGUGAUAGAGGAUGGUGGAAUUCCCGGUGUAGCGGUGAAAUGCGUAGAGAUCGGGAGGAACAUCAGUGGCGAAGGCGGCCAUCUGGAUCAACACUGACGCUGAAGCACGAAAGCGUGGGGAGCAAACAGG
rnacentral:rRNA from 1 species